rnacentral:rRNA from 1 species
UACGGGGGGGGCAAGCGUUGUUCGGAAUUACUGGGCGUAAAGGGCUCGUAGGCGGCCAACUAAGUCAGACGUGAAAUCCCUCGGCUUAACCGGGGAACUGCAUCUGAUACUGGAUGGCUUGAGUUCGGGACAGGGAUGCGGAAUUCCAGGUGUAGCGGUGAAAUGCGUAGAUAUCUGGAGGAACACCGGUGGCGAAGGCGGCAUCCUGGACCGACACUGACGCUGAGGAGCGAAAGCCAGGGGAGCAAACGGG